UUGCUUAGUAGCUGUUUCUAUUAAUUUAUAUUCACAUUAUUUAUGCCCAACUAGACUGUAAGUUCCCAGAGGAUAAGAACAGGUCUUAUUUGUAUCCCUCUGAUGCCUCUGAAUAAUGAUGCUAAUAAAUACACUUUAAAUUUGAUUAGCAAUUAUAACCUUUCAAAUUACUUUCAUGGUUAUUAGCUUUUUGGUUAUAUAUUUUCACUAUUUUACAGUCAAUGAAAGUGGGACAGUAAAUGCCCUAAGGACUAAUCUAUAGGUUACACAACUGGUGCUCGGGAAAAUAUGCAUUUAACAUGUGUUGACUGUCUGAAUCACAACUAUGAAAAUUUCUCUCCUGGUUACAUAAAGUUCUUACAGCAUUUAAAAACAAAUGCUAUCAUAAAGAAUGAGAACAGCUGAAUGAUGCAGAAGACACAGUAGAAUGAUGCAGAAGUGAUCAAGUUUGACAAGGAUUAAACGGUAACAUAGCAGGAAAGCAAAAGAGAAAUCUUAGUUUUUGUCUCAAAUUGUCUACAAGAGAUUAACUUCAUAAGGCCUUGACCUCUUACCACAGAAGGUAAAACUUUAAAAAGAACGCAAAAUGUAAAGGAAAAGUCACAAAAGGGCUGAUAAACCCCCAAAUUCUAAAAAAUCACAGCAUUUUACCUCAUGCAUAUGAAAAAGUUCAAGAAGACACUUUGAAUAACUCUAAUAAGAGAUUUCCCCCCACUGUUUUGAGGAGUCCCUAAAAAACAUCAAAAUGCCCAUACAAAAAAAAUUAUCAACCUUUCAACUGAAUUCAAUAAAAUAAUGGAAAUAAACGUCAGCUGAUUCCUGAGAAUACCUACCACCCCUAAGUACCAUGUGCCUAGGGAAGCAGCAUCAUUCAUUUGGGCUUUCAAGGUUUAUUGCAUGCCUACUAAGUGCAGGGACUGGCUGAGGCCCUUCAGGAAAACAGGCCUAAAUCUCAGUUGCUGGUGUGAACUGGUGCGGGGAAUUCGGAAAGGGGAAAGGUGGCGGUAACCUUGACGGGAGGUCUGCAGAGAGGAUCCGCGCUCAUCUCCCAUCUUCUCCUGGGCAAAUCUGCGAUCCCUCCUCCUCCUCCCCCACACCGGUACGCGGAGGAGAACGGACGCCCGGGACCCCAGUCUCGCGGGCGGGGUUGGGGUGAAAUCCUGCUCUGCGUCGGCCGCUCGGUGCUCUCUUCCUGAGGGAGAAAGACGAGUGGGCGACGGGGCGGGGUCACGGCGGGCCGGGUGCUGGAAAGCUGGCCCUCUGGGGGUCUGAGGCUCCGACGCGGCCGCUGAAAAUGUAUCUGAGGCAGGGGCUCGUAGCGUGGGCUUUGUUCUGGCCGCCUUUUCCAAGGCCGCGGCCGAGACGGCUGAGCCGCUGGAGGACCGGGCGGAGAGUACCGACUCCGGCCUCGGCGGACGCCCCGGGCUCGCGCAGUGCUUUGCGACCGGCGGAGGAGGCAGAGGGGGCACCGAGGAGCCUUUUUGAAACUAAAUUGUUAAGAAUGAAAGUUGGCUCCAGGGUUUUUAUCCGGGCAUCUAGAAACAGUAGAAACUCGGAGUCUUGUCUCUGUCUUCUCCGAUCCCGAAUUAAUUGAAGCUCUCGGCCUGGCCUGCAUAUGCGGAGCGAGAGGACAGGGAGCGCCUCUCUCUUCCACCCUCUCAAACUCUCUC
ensembl:lncRNA